AGAGUUUGAUCAUGGCUCAGAUUGAACGCUGGCGGCAUGCCUUACACAUGCAAGUCGAACGGCAGCACGGGAGCAAUCCUGGUGGCGAGUGGCGAACGGGUGAGUAAUAUAUCGGAACGUGCCCAGUCGUGGGGGAUAACGCAGCGAAAGCUGUGCUAAUACCGCAUACGAUCUACGGAUGAAAGCGGGGGAUCGCAAGACCUCGCGCGAUUGGAGCGGCCGAUAUCAGAUUAGCUAGUUGGUGGGGUAAAGGCCCACCAAGGCGACGAUCUGUAGCUGGUCUGAGAGGACGACCAGCCACACUGGGACUGAGACACGGCCCAGACUCCUACGGGAGGCAGCAGUGGGGAAUAUUGGACAAUGGGCGCAAGCCUGAUCCAGCCAUGCCGCGUGUGUGAAGAAGGCCUUCGGGUUGUAAAGCACUUUCAGCGAGGAGGAAGGGUGGUGUGUUAAUAGCACAUCAUUUUGACGUUACUCGCAGAAGAAGCACCGGCUAACUCUGUGCCAGCAGCCGCGGUAAUACAGAGGGUGCAAGCGUUAAUCGGAAUUACUGGGCGUAAAGCGCACGUAGGCGGUUUUUUAAGUCAGAUGUGAAAGCCCCGGGCUCAACCUGGGAAUUGCAUUUGAAACUGGAAAACUAGAGUGUGUGAGAGGGGGGUAGAAUUCCAAGUGUAGCGGUGAAAUGCGUAGAGAUUUGGAGGAAUACCAGUGGCGAAGGCGGCCCCCUGGCACAACACUGACGCUCAGGUGCGAAAGCGUGGGGAGCAAACAGGAUUAGAUACCCUGGUAGUCCACGCCGUAAACGAUGUCUACUAGCUGUUCGUGGUCUUGUACUGUGAGUAGCGCAGCUAACGCACUAAGUAGACCGCCUGGGGAGUACGGUCGCAAGAUUAAAACUCAAAUGAAUUGACGGGGGCCCGCACAAGCGGUGGAGCAUGUGGUUUAAUUCGAUGAUACGCGAGGAACCUUACCUAGGCUAGAAUGUGAGCGAAGUAAUCAGAGAUGGUUACGUCAGCAAUGACGCGAAACAAGGUGCUGCAUGGCCGUCGUCAGUUCGUGCCGUGAGGUGUUGGGUUAAGUCCCGCAACGAACGCAACCCCUAUAAUCUGUUGCCAGCAUGUGAUGAUGGGGACUCAGGUUAGACUGCCUACGCAAGUAGAGAGGAAGGAGGGGACGACGUCAGGUCAUCAUGGCCCUUACGCCUAGGGCGACACACGUGCUACAAUGGUAGGUACAGAGUGCAGCGAGCUAGCAAUAGUAAGCGAAUCACAAAAAGCCUAUCACAGUUCGGAUUGGGGUCUGCAACUCGACCCU
rnacentral:rRNA from 1 species